rnacentral:rRNA from 1 species
AUUGAACGCUGGCGGCAGGCCUAACACAUGCAAGUCGAACGAGUGGCGGACGGGUGAGUAAUGUCUGGGAAAAUGCCUGAUGGAGGGGGAUAACUACUGGAGACGGUAGCUAAUACCGCCUACCAUCGGUUGUCCCCAGAUGGGAUUAGCUAGUAGGUGGGGUAACGUCUCACCUAGGCGACGAUCCCUAGCUGGUCUGAGAGGAUGACCAGCCACACUGGAACUGAUACACGGUCCCGACUCCUACGGGAGGCAGCAGUGGGGAAUAGUGCACAAUGGGAGCAAGCCUGAUGCAGCCAUGCCGCGUGUAUGAAGAAGGCCUUCGGGUUGUAAAGUACUUUCAGCGGGGAGGCGUUACCCGCAGAAGAAGCACCGGCUAACUCCGUGCCAGCAGCCGCGGUAAUUC